AUGAAGACCAUGGAGCGACUGCUGCUGGACCACCUCAGACCUCAGGUCCACCAUGCUGAGGACCCACUGCAGUUUGCGUACCGUGAAAAGGUGGGAGUGGAAGAUGCCAUCCUCUAUCUUCUGCACAGAGCUCACUCUCAUCUGGACAAGGGGGGAGGUGCUGUGAGGGUCAUGUUCUUCGACUUCUCCAGUGCCUUCAACACCAUACAGCCCCUACUGCUGAGAGACAAGCUGAUGAAGAUGGAGGUGGACAUGCACCUGGUCACCUGGAUCACUGACUACCUUACUGGGAGACCACAACAUGUCAGGAUCAGGGACUGCUCCUCUGACACAGUGAUCAGCAGCACAGGAGCACCACAGGGGACUGUUCUCUCUCCAGUCCUGUUCACACUGUACACAUCAGACUUCAAAUACCACUCGGAGUCAUGCCACAUGCAGAAGUUCUCUGACGACACUGCAAUCGUGGGGUGUGUGCGUAAUGGGGAUGAGAGGGAGUACAGAAACCUGGUUGAGGAAUUUGUGGUUUGGUGCAAAACAAACCAUCUACAGCUGAACAUCUCCAAAACCAAGGAGAUGUGCAUAGACUUCAGAAGGUCCAGGCCCUCUGCUCAGCAGCCAAUCUCCAUCGAGGGGGUCAAUGUGGAAGUGGUCAAGUCCUACAGAUACCUUGGUGUGCACCUGGACGAUAGGCUGGACUGGUCAGUGAACACUGACUCCCUCUACAGGAAGGCCCAGAGCAGACUGUACUUCCUCAGAAGGCUUGGGUCCUUUAACAUCUGCCAGAAACUCCUGCUGAUGUUCUACCAGUCUGUGGUAGCCAGCGUCCUCUUUUACGCUGUAGUGUGCUGGGGAGGCAGCAUCAGCAAGAGGGACGCUGGACGACUGAACAGGCUGGUGAGGAAAGCUGGUUCUGUGUUGGGACUAGAGCUGGAGUCCUUAACACCACUGGCAGAGAGGAGAGCCCUCAGCAAGCUGCUGAACAUCAUGGACAAUGUUCACCACCCUCUGCACAGCACCAUCACCAGGCAGAGGAGCUCAUUCAGCGGCAGACUGCUGUCCCAGUCCUGCUCCACAGACAGACUUCGAAAGUCUUUUGUCCCUCAGGCCAUAAGACUUUUCAACUCAUCUCAGCACAGCAAACUGAAGACUCUGUGA
rnacentral:lncRNA from 1 species